GGGUCUGGUUUUGAAAUGAGGACAAUCUAAAUCCCUUACCGAGGAUCCAUUGGAGGGCAAGUCUGGUGCCAGCAGCCGCGGUAAUUCCAGCUCCAAUAGCGUAUAUUUAAGUUGUUGCAGUUAAAAAGCUCGUAGUUGGAUUUCGGGCGGGUACCGCCGGUCUCCCGUUUGGGUAUGUAUUGGCGCGGCCCGCCUUGCUGUCGGGGACGGUUGCCUGAGCUUAACUGCUCGGGCGCCGGAGUCGACGACGUUACUUUGAGUAAAUUAGAGUGUUCAAAGCAAGCUGUCGCUCUGAAUAUGAUAGCAUGGGAUAACACGACAGGACUCUGGCCUAUCGUGUUGGUCUGUAGGACCGGAGUAAUGAUUAAGAGGGACGGUCGGGGGCAUUCGUAUUCCAUUGUCAGAGGUGAAAUUCUUGGAUUUAUGGGGGACGAACAAUUGCGAAAGCAUUUGCCAAGGAUGUUUUCAUUGAUCAAGAACGAAAGUUGGGGGCUCGAAGACGAUUAGAUACCGUUGUAGUCUCAACCAUAAACGAUGCCGACUCGGGAUUGGCGGGUGUUUAUUCGAUGACUCCGCCAGCACCGUAUGAGAAAUCAAAGUUUUUGGGUUCCGGGGGGAGUAUGGUCGCAAGGCUGAAACUUAAAGGAAUUGACGGAAGGGCACCACCAGGCGUGGAGCCUGCGGCUCAAUUUGACUCAACACGGGAAAACUUACCAGGUCCAGACGUAGGAAGGAUUGACAGAUUGAUAGCUCUUUCUUGAUUCUUAUGGGUGGUGGUGCAUGGCCGUUCUUAGUUGGUGGGUUGCCUUGUCAGGUUGAUUCCGGUAACGAACGAGACCUCAGCCUGCUAAAUAGUCACGGCUGCAUCCGCAGCUGGCAAACUUCUUAGAGGGACUGUUGGCGACUAGCCAACGGAAGUAUGAGGCAAUAACAGGUCUGUGAUGCCCUUAGAUGUUCUGGCCGCACGCGCGCUACACUGAUACGUUCAACAAGUUCCUUGGCUCGAAAGGUCUGGGUAAUCUUUGAAACCGUAUCGUGAUGGGGAUAGAACAUUGCAAUUAUUGUUCUUCAACGAGGAAUGCCUAGUAAUCGCGAGUCAUCAUCUCGCGUUGAUUACGUCCCUGCCCUUUGUACACACCGCCCGUCGCUCCUACCGAUUGGAUGUGCUGGUGAAGACUUCGG
rnacentral:rRNA from 1 species